GGAUGUGAGAGCUAUCUGGCUGCGACAUCUGUCACCUCAUUGAUUGCCAGGGUUGGUUCAGCUGAUCUGGCAGGCUAAGUGGAUGUCCCCCUUCCUCCCUCACUGCCUCAUGUGGGUCUCUGCCUAAGCAGUCUGCUUCACUGAACAGGCCAGCCCUCACAGAAUAGAAAUGGCUGGUCUUUGGUUGAGGGUAGCAGCACUCCCCUGCUAAAACCUCCAACAGUUCUCAAAAAAGAAAACCAAUGGUUACCAGAAAUGGUGGGAGUAAUAUAGAUUCUGACAACUAGUAGUAAGCCAAGUGGUU
rnacentral:snRNA from 1 species